AAUAGAUACCGGGUAGUCCAUGCCGUAAACGUUGGGAACUAGAUGUGGGGACCAUUCCACGGUUUCCGUGUCGCAGCUAACGCAUUAAGUUCCCCGCCUGGGGAGUACGGCCGCAAGGCUAAAACUCAAAGGAAUUGACGGGGGCCCGCACAAGCGGCGGAGCAUGCGGAUUAAUUCGAUGCAACGCGAAGAACCUUACCAAGGCUUGACAUAUACGAGAACGCUCUAGAAAUAGAGAACUCUUUGGACACUCGUAUACAGGUGGUGCAUGGUUGUCGUCAGCUCGUGUCGUGAGAUGUUGGGUUAAGUCCCGCAACGAGCGCAACCCUCGUCGUAUGUUGCCAGCACGUAAUGGUGGGAACUCAUAUGAGACUGCCGGGGUCAACUCGGAGGAAGGUGGGGAUGAGGUCAAAUCAUCAUGCCCCUUAUGUCCUGGGCUUCACGCAUGCUACAAUGGCCGGUACAAAGGGCUGCAAUACCGCAAGGUGGAGCGAAUCCCAAAAAGCCGGUCUCAGUUCGGAUUGAGGU
rnacentral:rRNA from 1 species